UACGUAGGGUCCGAGCGUUGUCCGGAAUUAUUGGGCGUAAAGGGCUCGUAGGCGGUUUGUCGCGUCGGGAGUGAAAACACGGGGCUUAACCCCGUGCCUGCUUCCGAUACGGGCAGACUAGAGGUAUGCAGGGGAGAACGGAAUUCCUGGUGUAGCGGUGAAAUGCGCAGAUAUCAGGAGGAACACCGAUGGCGAAGGCAGGUCUCUGGGCCACUACUGACGCUGAGAAGCGAAAGCAUGGGGAGCGAACAGG
rnacentral:rRNA from 1 species